rnacentral:rRNA from 1 species
AUUGAACGCUGGCGGCAUGCCUUACACAUGCAAGUCGAACGGCAGCACGGGAGCAAUCCUGGUGGCGAGUGGCGAACGGGUGAGUAAAGUAUCGGAACGUGCCCAGUCGUGGGGGAUAACGUAGCGAAAGUUACGCUAAUACCGCAUACGAUCUAUGGAUGAAAGCGGGGGAUCGCAAGACCUCGCGCGAUUGGAGCGGCCGAUAUCAGAUUAGGUAGUUGGUGGGGUAAAGGCUCACCAAGCCAACGAUCUGUAGCUGGUCUGAGAGGACGACCAGCCACACUGGGACUGAGACACGGCCCAGACUCCUACGGGAGGCAACAGUGGGGAAUUUUGGACAAUGGGCGAAAGCCUGAUCCAGCAAUGCCGCGUGCAGGAAGAAGGCCUUCGGGUUGUAAACUGCUUUUGUACGGAGCGAAAAGGUCUCCUCUAAUACAGGGGGCUCAUGACGGUACCGUAAGAAUAUGCACCGGCUAACUACGUGCCAGCCGCCGCGGUAA